rnacentral:lncRNA from 1 species
UAAUCAUGUCCUGAAAAUUUUUUCCUAAUUUCUAUCCCUCCCUGCCUCCAUAUAUUUUAUUUUUUCGAGUCCCUGUUGUGUCAGGUUUUUUCGGGGCACUACAUUUGAUUGUGGUUGACACAUCCCGAGUGCUGCCUCUUCCCCUUGUCUUCAUCUAAGCUCACCUAGUAUGCCCCCUAAGGGGUUCCUCCGCCCUCUCGUUCCUCCACUGCACUCCCUCCUGUCAAAAUGCUUUUUCCUCUCUUGUGCCACACUGCCUGAUUAUUGAUCCCAACUUCUCUUUUAUUACAGGCAGCAACAAUAACCAAUGGUGGAGGUAAUUUUCCUUUGUGCCAUAUACCUAUGCUUAGUAAUCCUGCCUUGGCUUAGGCUCUUCUUGUGCUUAUUUGUCUAUUUGAGAAGAGACAAUGUUUGCUCGCCUUCCAAAAUAAUAUCAUGUAAGGGUGCGAUCUGAUCAAGGCAGGUUGGGCUAGCUCCCAACCUCAACUUGAACCUUAAGGGGAUUGAGUCUAAAUUUUUAACCAAAAUCCUUGGUGAAUCAGUUAUGU